AGGAAGGUGGCGCAGUAGGCAGCCCGGAAAGGGAGCCAGGUCCCAAAGCCCGCCGAAAGGAGGGAGAAGAGUCAGGGGAGUCAGCGUCAGCGUCAGAGGAAUCCCGGAAGGAAGAGACCCCGGGGGGGCAGAGGGACCCAGAGAAGAACAGUCAGGCGGAAAAGGUGGAGCAGGGCUAGGAUAUUAAGUUGGUGUACAAGGGGCGGAGACUCAGACGGAGCUUCGCCGGUCUAAGCAUGAGACGUAGAGUUGCACGCAGCAGCUUGAGAAUGGAAACUGUAACUCAAUAAAGACUUUUGUUUAAUGAUCGCUGGCUAGCGUGAUCCUCUGUGAGCUAGGAUCUGGAAGCAGCUCUGACAGUAAGCUCCGUCUCCUAAAUUGUGGGCAUCUACGGCCUCGCGGAGAGGAGAGAAAGCGGGUGCCUACUAGCGAGCUCACGAACGGCAGACAAUAUGACGGCCGAACAGCAGAUAGCGGAACUCAGAGAAGCAGUGUCACGACUGAAUGCCGAGGCUCUUGCAUCCAGGAAGAGAGAGGAGGACGCAGCUGCCGCCUACAGGGAUCUCCAGGUCAGGUUGGAAGUGCUUACGAAGCAAGGGCAACUGACACCCAAACCGGAGGGGAUUGGGUUGGGGAGACGAACAGGCGGUCUGGUCUCUCACUUCGAUGGGAAUUUGCAACAGUACCCCAACUUUAGAGCAGAUGUAAUGUGUGCACUGCAACUGCUGAACAAAGACUUUAGAGAUGAGCAAGAGAAGGUGGGAUUCAUCAUGUCCCAUUUGCAUGGAGAUGCUAAAGCAUGGCUGCGCAAUUUGUGGAGAGAUAAGGAUCCGGCGCUCCAAAAUGCGGAUGCCUUUAUUAAAGCGAUGGAUGGGUGCUUUUUAUCAAGCAUUGACGUGGAUCUUGCUCGGCAGCAGAUACAUGGACUGAAGCAAGGGAGGGCCAGCGUAAGGCAGUACCAUGCCCGCUUUUCGCUUUGGUCAGUGCUCUGGAAUGGGACAGAGAUUCGGCUCCUGUAAGAGACCUGUUUUGGGAGGGAUUGCACGGCUCGGUUAAAGAUGAAAUUGCGAGAGGGGAGAGACCCCGGACCACGCAGGAGAUCGUUCAGAGGGCGCUGGCGGUGGGGGUGCGGCUGGAAGAACGUCCGUGGAGCAGGGACGAAGGGCGUGGAGGGCGCGAACCAGCCAGGGGCUCCUCCUUCCUUCCCAGAGAAGCAGCGCGUGCGCAAUCCACGCCUCCGCCAGGAGGAGGAGCGGAACCUAUGGAGGUUGGAGGUGCAAGGGCUCAGUCAGCAGCCAGAGCCCUAGCACCGGCAGCAGUGAAAGCGAAGCCUCCUAGAGGGAACAGGAAGUGUUACAUCUGCGAUGAUCCACAGCAUAUGGCGAAAGAGUGUCCCCAGAGGCUCCACAAGCACACUGCAGCCUCAGCAAUGGUAACUGCAGCAACGCAGCAAGGAGAACCACGGCAGGGAAACGACGGAGUCUGGCUGGAGAAAGAGGCACUGGGGCCCAGCCAGACGUGUCAGUGAAGCAGUCCCCAGAGAUUUUACAGCCCAUGGACCCCCUCCCGCCCAAACCAGUAGUGAGGCUCACCGCGUCGCUCCAGCUGCCCAAUGGCAUCACCAUGGACGUGCCAAUCACCAUUGACUCCGGAAGCAAUGCGGACUUUAUAGGGCAGGACUUUGUCGACCGGCACGCUAUACAGUUGCUGCCUGCCACGCUGCCCCUGCAGGUUGUCACGGUGGAUGGCAGGGAGCUGCUAGGGGGGCAAGUGGUGAAGCAGACGCCACCAAUGGUGAUGAGACUUGGGAAUCACAGGGAAAUCAUCAGCUUCAAUGUCACUCAACUAUCGGACACGCCCAUUGUAUUGGGCAUGAGUUGGCUGGACAAGCACAGCCCGACGCUGGCUUGGUACCAGAGGCAGCUGACCUUCGGCUCUUCCUUUUGCGCUGAACACUGCAUCGUGCCCCGGCAGGAAGGAGAGGAAGAGGAGUCACAGCUGCAGCUCGGCACGCUGCAAGCGGUUCCCCACAAGUACGCAGCAUUUUGGAGGUUUUCUGUGAGAAGGAGGCAGACAGGCUACCCCCCCACAGACCAUAUGACUGCAAAAUUGACCUGCUGCCGGGGGCGGCGCUGCCCAAAGGGAAGUUGUAUUCCAUGUCUGAGGACGAACUGCAGGAACUCAAAGAGUUCAUAGAUCAUAAUUUGGAGCGCGGUUUCAUCCGAGAGUCCACGGCAGCGGGGGGCAGUCCGGUAUUCUUUGUUAAGAAGAGGGACACGCCCCAAAAAAGACUUGUAGUGGACUAUCGCAUUUUGAACAGCGUGACCAAGCCAUCGGACUUCCCCAUGCCCCGAAUCGACGACCUCCUCGCGAAGGUACGGAAGGGCAGCGUGUUCACCAAGUUGGACCUGCGAGGGGCGUACAACCUCAUUCGCAUGCGGGAAGGAGAUGAGUGGAAGACAGCCAUGUUCACGCCCCUGGGCACCUACGAAUAUAGAGUUAUGCCUUUUGGAUUGCAAAAUGGUUCCCACGUUUUUCAAGCUUUCAUGCAUCACGUGUUGGCGGGGCUCCUCUACAAGACGUGCGUCUGUUUCUUGGAUGACAUCCUGAUCUUUUCGGAAUCGCAGCAGGAGCAUGACAGGCACGUCAAAGAAGUGCUGAGCAGGCUACAGCAACAUAGGCUUUACGCCAAGCUGGAGAAGUGCCAAUUCGACGUGACGGAGGUGGAUUUCCUGGGCUACAAGUUGUCUGAUAAAGGGCUCGCCAUGGACAGCACCAAGGUCCGAGCAGUGUUGGAUUGGAAAAGCCCACGCAACCGGAAGGAGGUCCAACGGUUUGUCGGCUUUGCGAACUUCUAUCGCAAGUUUAUCAAAGGCUUUGCCAUGCAGACAGCGGCCAUCACGGACACGCUCAGCUCCAAGAAAAGAAGUUCAUCUGGACAGAGCAGGCGGAGCAGUCCUUUCAGGCACUCAAGCGUCUCUUCGCGUCGGAAGAGCAACUGCUUCAUGUCAACCCCAGCAGGCCGAUGAGGGUGGAGACAGACGCUUCGGACAGAGCCGUGGGAGCAGUCCUGCUGCAGAAGGACCCGCAGGGGGUUUGGAGGCCGGGAGCGUUUUACUCAAGGAAGCUCAGCAAGUCCGAACAGAACUACACCAUCUGGGACAGGGAGUUGCUGGCCAUUCAUGCAGCGUUCAAAGCGUGGAGGCACUUCCUGAUCGGCGCCAAGCACACGGUGCAGGUCUGCACGGACCACAAGAAUCUAGAGCACUGGCGCACGGCACAGUUCCUGAACCAGAGGCAGAUACGUUGGGCUGAGUUCUUUGCGAAUUUCGACUUCCGAAUAGAGUAUGUCCCGGGGACACCAACAUCAUGGCGGAUGCUCUCUCCCGUAAGCCACAGUAUUUGGAGGAGGCAACGCCAGCGGCCGCCAUGCACAUCUUCGCACCGACAGUGUGGGCGUGCACGGCGGCGACAGUUGACCUGGAGGCGGUGCGACGAGCGUUGCAGGAUGACUCCUUCGCGCAAGCAAAGAUGGCAGAGGCGCACAGGGGCACGGCAGCGACCGACGAGUUCCAGCUGCGAGAUGGUUUGCUCAUCCGUAAAGGGGCCAUCUACGUGCCGGGAGACGAACUUCGCGCCAAGGUACUGCAGCAGCUGCACGACGCGCCCACUGCCGGGCACUUUGGCAAGGAGAAAACGGUGGAAUUAGUAGCCAGAGACUUCUGGUGGCCAGGAAUGAGAGGGGAAGUCGCGGACUACGUGGCGAGGUGUGACACCUGCCAGAGGGCCAAACCAGUGCACAGACCGCCGGCCGGACUGCUGGAACCGCUGCAAACUCCGUUCGAACCAUGGGAGAGAGUGGCCCUGGACUUUGUCACGGAUCUGCCCAGCUCGAGGGGCAAGACGGCUGUGCUGGUGGUGGUGGACUUGUUCUCCAAGAUGGCACAUUUCAUUCCGUGUGCGAAGGUGGCCACGGCGGAACAAACCGCCAAACUGUUCAUAGACCACGUGUUCAAGGUUCACGGUCUGCCGCGGUCUAUUCUGUCCGACCGAGGGCGACAGUUCAUCUCGAACUUCUGGCAGAGGCUGAUGGGCUUCCUGAACGUCAAGAUCAACCUGGCGUCGGCUAGACACCCGCAGACCAAUGGGCAAGCGGAGCGGGUCAAUGCCAUCAUGCAGCAGUACCUGAGAUGUUAUGCGAAUCAACAGCCUGCGACGUGGGUGGAUUACCUGCCUCUCGCCGAGUUUGCCUACAACAACACGAAGCACGUGUCCACGGGGGUCACGCCGUUCUUCGCCAACAACGGGAGGCACCCCAGAACCUUCCCGGGACUGGAAAGAAUGGGGAGGGGAGCCGCAGACAGCAGAUGCAUUCGCGUCGGAGUUGCAGGAGGUCCACGAUCAGCUGCGGCGGCACCUGGAGCUGGCUAAACACGCAUACAAGGUACAAGCGGACAAACACAGAAGGGUUGGCGAAGAGAUCCAUGUGGGAGACUGGGUCUGGUUAGCAGCCCACGCAGUGCCGGCCAGGUCGUUGGCGAAGAAGAAACUAGGGCAUAAACAACUGGGGCCCUACCAAGUCGAAGAACAGGUCAACCCGGUGGCUUUCAGGCUGGCUCUUCCGGAGGGUUCCAGAAUGCAUCCGGUGUUCCACAGAUCGGUGCUCACUCCCUACAAGGCACCUCACAGGUUUCAGGAACCAGGAACGGCACCGGGUCCGCUCCGAGAGAGAACCGGGCAGGGGGGAGUGGCACGGGAGGAGCGCAUCAACGAAGUCACGGAGAUUUUGGACUCCAGAUGGGGGGAGAGGGGGUAGAAUACCUUCUCGCCAAGGAGGGCACCCCGGCCAGUGCCAACAGCUGGGUGCCGGGCUACGCUUUAGACGAACCUCUGCUCAAAGAAGAGUUUCAUGCCCUCUUCCCACAUAGGCCAAUGCCAGCAGACUUUUCGACGACUGGCUUUUCACGCCCACGCUUUCAGCCAGCACGUUCCGGGGUUCGACUCGGACGAGGAACCGACACGAGACGCCCGUUCCCCGGAGGGGUCACCCUCAGGAUCUGCUUCAGAACCCUCGUAUUGGUGGGAUGAUCGACCAGAGGAGCAGUUCCGUAGAAGGUGGCUGGAGGGUCCAGGACGAGCAACGUCUCCAGAAGGCAACGAGGAGAGACGGACAUGGACUUUUCGGGGACGACCCGGGUUUCGAGCACGGCGGCACAGAGAUGGAAGCGGAGGUGACCGUCGUCAACGAGAGCAGGGAGGAAGAACCGGAAGACUUCAGAUGGCGGCCCGCCACGGGAAGCGAACUGUAUCCGACAUUCGUCCCCUGACACGGCAGCACCCAGAUCCCGCACCGGAAGGAGGGGAGGGGGAAGAGGGGGCUUCGAGGGGGAUGGAUGUCAGGGGUUCAGGAGCAGAGGCAAGGGCAAGGGAGGAAACAGAGAGCGAGGGGAGGAGGCAGAAGAAAAGAUGAGUGAUGACGACGACCCGAGAUCUCCGAGUCUUUCCAGUGAAUCAGAAGAUUCACAGAAAGGAGCACCAGUGGCCAGGGCAAGGGGGAGCCUAGGGGACACCCCAGGAAGAUAGAGCCAGAGGGGACUCAGAGGGGAGCAGUUGGAAAUCGGGACCAACGUCACCGCCAGAGAGCAGGGAAGAGGAAGGGCACCAGGGAUCAAGCGCUGGCAACUCACAACAGGGGGGAGGGCACGAGUCAGGAGUGGCCACACCUCCAUCGGGGAGCGAAGAAACGGUCAGACGGAAGGUGGAAGGUUGGGCGCGCGCGCCAAGUUCAAAUGCACAGGAAGGUGGCGCAGUAGGCAGCCCGGAAGGGAGCCAGGUCCCAAAGCCCGCCGAAAGGAGGGAGAAGAGUCAGGGGAGUCAGCGUCAGCGUCAGAGGAAUCCCGGAAGGAAGAGACCCCGGGGGGCAGAGGGACCCAGAGAAGAACAGUCAGGCGGAAAAGGUGGAGCAGGGCUAGGAUAUUAAGUUGGUGUACAAGGGGCGGAGACUCAGACGGAGCUUCGCCGGUCUAAGCAUGAGACGUAGAGUUGCACGCAGCAGCUUGAGAAUGGAAACUGUAACUCAAUAAAGACUUUUGUUUAAUGAUCGCUGGCUAGCGUGAUCCUCUGUGAGCUAGGAUCUGGAAGCAGCUCUGACACAUACGCUUCAGGUUAC
rnacentral:lncRNA from 1 species